UUAGCUGUUGAUGCUGAUGAAGAUUAUGAUGAUGAUGAUGAUGAUGACGGGAGGAUGAAAAAGUAAUAAAAAAUAGUUUACAGCCGUCAAUAUUCUAGAGUAAAUAAUAUUCAGUGAAAAUUAUAAAUUUUCUCCUGUUUGAAGCCAAUUUUAGCAGUUAUUAUACAUCGUUAUAAAUACAUACAUUUAUAUCUGCAUUAUUUGGAGAUAAAGUUUCAGAAAUAUAUUAUUAAAGAGACAUUAUAAUAAAAAGAGUGGGAGAAAGUGGGUAAAAGUAUCAUAUGAGCCAAAGAAGAAAAGGGUUUUUCAAUAUACAAAAGUUCCAACAUUACAGUAAUCCUUCGCGAUGUUACACCAAACAAAGCUGGCAAUGAGUAGUAGGAAAUAACCAUGUUGGUAUCCAAGCGUUUCUAAAUGAAAUGUAUGCUCAGGGCGGAAGCGCGACACAGUAAUAUAUACGAUACGCAAAGUGAAAGCAGGAGCACCAGCAACAGCAGCAGCAAGAGAAGAGAGCAGAGAGCGGCGAAUGAUUUUGGCUCUCUUCCAGAGCUAUAAGCCGGUUUUCUGGUGAAAUUAUUGAGACCAAUAUUGCACUUGAGAGUAUAUAUACUCUUAUAAUACAAAUUUUUACACGUUAUAAAAGAUGUGUUCGGAGAACCUGAAAAUUAACCAAUAAAAAUAAAAUAAAAUAAAAUAAACGAAGGAAUUCAAGAAAGAGAGAGUGAUGAUGAACUUAAAAAAAGAUUGGAUGCUCGAGAAGUGAGCGAGGAUUCCGAGUAGAGCAAUUAGACGGAUCGUACAUAAGUACGAAGAUACGCAUUGAUAAAAAUGAGAGUAAGUAUAAGUAUAAUGAAUAAGAAAUGAAAUACGAUGGUGCUCGCGCGCAGAGCUGUUGAGAGUGAAUAACGACGUGUUGGGGUGGUGAGAGUAGGCCAAUGUCAGUGUCAAUACGCCGCAGAGCUUGGCUAGUUAGCCUCUCUGGCGCGCGCGACAAACUUGAUCGUGAAAACAGAAAAACGACAGCGUACAUGGAGUCGCCGAUUACGUUCAUUCGCUCAACAAUUUUAUUUAUAGAACCUUGUAAUUCAUUGUAUAUAUAUAUAUACACAUAUGUGAGAUUUUGCAUUCAUACUAAUUUCUUUUAUUAAAUAUGUAUAUGUAUAUUAAUAUAUUCGAUUAUUUAAUCUCGUUAUAUAUGUAAUACAAUUUUUUUAUUAUUAUGCUAUGGAUGAUGUAAUUUUUUUUUAUAACACUACUGUGUCAGAAGUGAGAUAAGCACUUGCUAAUUUUAAUCACCAUCGUAACCGCCUCCAUCAUUUUAUUUGCGAUGUACUUUAAAUUACAAUUAUUUAAGACAGGAGCAUGUGUAUAAUUUAUAUUAUCAUUAUUGUCAAAUAAUAAAAUUUGUUAUCGAAUGUUAACAAAUAAAAUAAUGGAAGAAUGAGAAUAUAUUGUAAAGAAGUAAAAGUUUAAAUAUACCUUUACUUAUUGUAAUUAUCAUAUUAAUGUUAUGUAAAAAAAUAUAAAAUUUUCACUCGGUAUUAAAAAAAAA
rnacentral:lncRNA from 1 species